UUUCCUACGGGGGGCAGCAGUGGGGGAUAUUGGACAAUGGGGGAAACCCUGAUCCAGCGACGCCGCGUGAGUGAAGAAGUAUUUCGGUAUGUAAAGCUCUGUCAGCAGGGAAGAAAGAAAUGACGGUACCUGACUAAGAAGCCCCGGCUAACUACGUGCCAGCAGCCGCGGUAAUACGUAGGGGGCAAGCGUUAUCCGGAUUUACUGGGUGUAAAGGGAGCGUAGACGGCAGUGCAAGUCCGGAGUGAAAGCCCGGGGCUCAACCCUGGUACUGCUCUGGAAACUGUAAAGCUGGAGUGCGGGAG
rnacentral:rRNA from 1 species